rnacentral:tRNA from 1 species
AGAGAAUUGAUCGAGUGGUUUAAGAUGGUAAGCUUGAGUCUUAUUUGGCCAAAAACUGGUCACAUCCGUUCGAAUCGGAUAUUCUCUG